rnacentral:rRNA from 1 species
CAGCCGCCACGGUAAUACGUAGGUGGCAAGCGUUGUCCGGAAUUAUUGGGCGUAAAGGGCUCGCAGGCGGUUUCUUAAGUCUGAUGUGAAAGCCCCCGGCUCAACCGGGGAGGGUCAUUGGAAACUGGGAAACUUGAGUGCAGAAGAGGAGAGUGGAAUUCCACGUAUAGCGGUGAAAUGCGUAGAGAUGUGGAGGAACACCAGUGGCGAAGGCGACUCUCUGGUCUGUAACUGACGCUGAGGAGCGAAAGCGUGGGGAGCGAACAGGAUUAGAUACCCCUGUAGUCCCUGUCUCUUAUAC